rnacentral:rRNA from 1 species
AGUCGCGUGCGCAGCCUGUAGCAAUACAGAUCGGCGCACGGCGCACGGGUGCGUAACACGUGGGCAAUCUGCCCUCCGAUGGGGAAUAACCCCGCGAAAGCGGGGCUAAUACCGCAUAACAUUCCUUGAGCGAUGGUUCGAGGAUUCAAAGCAGCAAUGCGUCGGAGGAGGAGCCCGCGCCCGAUUAGCUAGUUGGUGAGGUAACGGCUCACCAAGGCAAUGAUCGGUAGCUGGUCUGAGAGGAUGAUCAGCCACACUGGAACUGAGACACGGUCCAGACUCCUACGGGAGGCAGCAGUGGGGAAUCUUGCACAAUGGGCGAAAGCCUGAUGCAGCGACGCCGCGUGGGGGAUGAAGCUUUUCGGAGUGUAAACCCCUUUCGCCUGGGACGAAUGCCCGCAAGGGAGUGACGGUACCAGGAUAAGAAGCCCCGGCUAACUACGUGCCAGCAGCCGCGGUAAGACGUAGGGGGCCAGCGUUGUUCGGAAUUACUGGGUGUAAAGGGUUCGUAGGCGGUGCGGCAAGUCGGGAGUGAAAUCUCUGGGCUCAACCCAGAGGCUGCUUCCGAAACUGCUGUGCUUGAGUGUGAGAGAGGCUCGUGGAAUUGCAGGUGUAGCGGUGAAAUGCGUAGAUAUCUGCAGGAACACCCGUGGCGAAAGCGGCGAGCUGGAUCACUACUGACGCUGAG